rnacentral:rRNA from 1 species
ACGGGUGAGUAACGCGUGGGUAACCUACCCUGUACACACGGAUAACAUACCGAAAGGUAUGCUAAUACGGGAUAAUAUAUUUGAGAGGCAUCUCUUAAAUAUCAAAGGUGAGCCAGUACAGGAUGGACCCGCGUCUGAUUAGCUAGUUGGUAAGGUAACGGCUUACCAAGGCGACGAUCAGUAGCCGACCUGAGAGGGUGAUCGGCCACAUUGGAACUGAGACACGGUCCAAACUCCUACGGGAGGCAGCAGUGGGGAAUAUUGCACAAUGGGCGAAAGCCUGAUGCAGCAACGCCGCGUGAGUGAUGAAGGCCUUCGGGUCGUAAAACUCUGUCCUCAAGGAAGAUAAUGACGGUACUUGAGGAGGAAGCCCCGGCUAACUACGUGCCAGCAGCCGCGGUAAUACGUAGGGGGCUAGCGUUAUCCGGAUUUACUGGGCGUAAAGGGUGCGUAGGCGGUCUUUCAAGUCAGGAGUGAAAGGCUACGGCUCAACCGUAGUAAGCUCUUGAAACUGGGAGACUUGAGUGCAGGAGAGGAGAGUGGAAUUCCUAGUGUAGCGGUGAAAUGCGUAGAUAUUAGGAGGAACACCAGUUGCGAAGGCGGCUCUCUGGACUGUAACUGACGCUGAGGCACGAAAGCGUGGGGAGCAAACAGGAUUAGAUACCCUGGUAGUCCACGCUGUAAAC